rfam:Capsicum annuum cultivar Zunla-1 chromosome 3, whole genome shotgun sequence
UAUCGGUGAUGCAGUCAAUAUUUGAGAAGAGACUUGAAUCUCUCCCAUGCAUGCCAGAGAUUUUCAUCUGGCUUCUACUUGAAACUUAAUAUCUCGCACCUCAACCU